AAUGUUUAUAAGAACGGAGAUAGAUAAUCUAGAUUUAAGAUUGUAUGUGAUAGU
rnacentral:guide_RNA from 1 species